rnacentral:rRNA from 1 species
CCUACGGGUGGCAGCAGUGGGGGAUAUUGCACAAUGGGGGGAACCCUGAUGCAGCGACGCCGCGUGGGUGAAGGAGCGUUUCGGCGCGUAAAGCUCUAUCGGCAGGGAAGAAGAUGACGGUACCUGACCAAGAAGCACCGGCUACCUACGGGCCAGCAGCCGCGGUAAUACGUAGGGGGGAAGAGGUAUCCGGAGUUACUGGGUGUAAAGGGGGCGCAGACGGGAAUGCAAGCCAGGAGUGAAAGACCGGGGCCCAACCCCGGGAAUGCGCUUGGAACUGCAUGGCUGGAGUACAGGAGGGGCAGGCGGAAGUCCUAGUGUAGCGGUGAAAUGCGUAGAUAUUAGGAGGAACACCAGUGGCGAAGGCGGGCUGCUGGACUGUGACUGACGUUGAGGCACGAAGGCGUGGGGAGCAAACAGGAUUAGAUACCCUUGUAGUC